rnacentral:rRNA from 1 species
GAGGCAGCAGUGGGGAAUUUUGGACAAUGGGCGAAAGCCUGAUCCAGCAAUGCCGCGUGCAGGAUGAAGGCCUUCGGGUUGUAAACUGCUUUUGUACGGAACGAAAAAGCUUCUCCUAAUACGAGAGGCCCAUGACGGUACCGUAAGAAUAAGCACCGGCUAACUACGUGCCAGCAGCCGCGGUAAUACGUAGGGUGCGAGCGUUAAUCGGAAUUACUGGGCGUAAAGCGUGCGCAGGCGGUUAUGUAAGACAGAUGUGAAAUCCCCGGGCUCAACCUGGGAACUGCAUUUGUGACUGCAUGGCUAGAGUACGGUAGAGGGGGAUGGAAUUCCGCGUGUAGCAGUGAAAUGCGUAGAUAUGCGGAGGAACACCGAUGGCGAAGGCAAUCCCCUGGACCUGUACUGACGCUCAUGCACGAAAGCGUGGGGAGCAAACAGGAUUAGAUACCCUGGUAGUCCACGCCCUAAACGAUGUCAACUGGUUGUUGGGAAUUAGUUUUCUCAGUAACGAAGCUAACGCGUGAAGUUGACCGCCUGGGGA